rnacentral:rRNA from 1 species
UGGGGAAUAUUGGACAAUGGGCGAAAGCCUGAUCCAGCCAUGCCGCGUGUGUGAAGAAGGUCUUCGGAUUGUAAAGCACUUUAAGUUGGGAGGAAGGGCAGUUACCUAAUACGUGAUUGUUUUGACGUUACCGACAGAAUAAGCACCGGCUAACUCUGUGCCAGCAGCCGCGGUAAUACAGAGGGUGCAAGCGUUAAUCGGAAUUACUGGGCGUAAAGCGCGCGUAGGUGGUUAGUUAAGUUGGAUGUGAAAUCCCGGGGCUCAACCUGGGAACUGCAUUCAAAACUGACUGACUAGAGUAUGGUAGAGGGUGGUGGAAUUUCCUGUGUAGCGGUGAAAUGCGUAGAUAUAGGAAGGAACACCAGUGGCGAAGGCGACCACCUGGACUGAUACUGACACUGAGGUGCGAAAGUGUGGGGAUCAAACAGGAUUAGAUACCCCCGUAGUCCCUGAGCGGGCUGGCAAGGCGCAU